rnacentral:rRNA from 1 species
UGGGGAAUAUUGCGCAAUGGGCGAAAGCCUGACGCAGCGACGCCGCGUGGGGGAUGACGGCCUUCGGGUUGUAAACCUCUUUCAGCAGGGACGAAGCGCAAGUGACGGUACCUGCAGAAGAAGCACCGGCCAACUACGUGCCAGCAGCCGCGGUAAUACGUAGGGUGCAAGCGUUGUCCGGAAUUAUUGGGCGUAAAGAGCUCGUAGGCGGUUCGUCGCGUCGGCUGUGAAAUCCCGAGGCUCAACCUCGGGUCUGCAGUCGAUACGGGCGGACUGGAGUUCGGCAGGGGAGACUGGAAUUCCUGGUGUAGCGGUGAAAUGCGCAGAUAUCAGGAGGAACACCGGUGGCGAAGGCGGGUCUCUGGGCCGAUACUGACGCUGAGGAGCGAAAGCGUGGGGAGCGAACAGGAUUAGAUACCCUGGUAGUCCACGCCGUAAACGUUGGGCGCUAGGUGUGGGGGCCAUUCCACGGUCUCCGUGCCGCAGCUAACGCAUUAAGCGCCCCGCCUGGGGAGUACGGCCGCAAGGCUA